CUGGUUCCUAAAGAAUCUAGCAACAAAUCAGACCGAAAAGCAUAUACUUCAAGCUUCAUUUUCACAGGAAGAAAGAAAAAAAAAAGUUUAUUUACGUAUUCAGGAAGAUGAGUAAUUUUCAUCUUUCAUACGGGUGGGACAUUCUACAUUGAUUUAGUGCAAUGACCCACGACACGCACGCGACGAGGCUAUUCGGUGGCUUUCAGGUGAUACUAGACAGCGAGGGCGAGGCUAAGGAGGGUGGCGGCCGCGACGCACCAUCAGGUAGUACAAUAAGGUCUUGCGGGAAAAGACAAAUACCACGGUUUUUUUUGUUCAAGUGUGGGAGCAGAUAAUAGCAGAAAAGAAUGCGUUCAUUCUUAAUCACGACCAAGUCGAAAGUGGAAAUUUUACGGUUUUGUGGUACACGUGGGAAAAAAUGUUUCGCCGGUGAGAAAGGUGUGCAGUGAAAAUAUAUAAAUGAAUAGAUUAAUAAACGAAUAAAUACGUAUGUGGAGGUAAUACUUAAAUGUUAUAAAAUUGGAGAAUAUAUAAUAUGUUUCAAUCAAUGCAUUUUAUUGUUAAAUCAUUCUUGAAGAACAAUUUAUUCUAUGCUCGAUAUUUUAAUUUAAUUUUUAACACUGCAUAAAUGUUAGUGUUUUAGUAUGACUCAUGAUAUACCUCAUCUUGUUAUACGUUAUGGUGCCGUUAGUGGUGACGUACGCGCAAGACCUUGCGUCACUACUUGGUCUUGUGGUCAAAAAAAUAUCUCGCAUGACAACUCCCUCCAGAUACUAUUUAAGGCAGCGAAAAAGAGAACAUGUUUGUCAGUAAUUGUCCACUGUUUAAUUUUUUUUUUCUUCUAUUAAGUUCAGGUGUCCGAACGAAACGAUGGCAAAUAAUCAAAGUGAGAUAAUAUAAUCAAUAAUUUUACUACAAUACAAAUAUUUAUAUGGUCUGUAUCACAGAAGCUCAGUAUCAUUGCAGUGUUGUGAAUGUGGUCACACACUAGAGAUAUAUAACGGAUUAGUACUAAAUUCUGCUAAUGCGGAGCUGAAGCAAGAUAUGCAUUUCUUGUAAAAUGCGGUUGCGGAUAAGAUUGGAGAUGCUCAAAUAUCAACACUUGUGAAUGCGGAUGCAGUUGUGGAUUUCUUUUAACUCCAUAGACGCGGUUGCGGCUGCAGAUGUAGAUAAUUUCUGCACAUUACAGUAAUACAAAGUUCGUCGUAUCUAUGACAGAAAACUCCAGAAAGGAGAGAAAGAGACAGAAAAAAAAAAACGCAAACGAAGAACAAAUGGAGAUAUAAUAAAAUAGGUAAAAAAUGUAUAAUGUAUUUCAAGAAUAUAGAAGUAACCAGGAAAGCGGUGUGCAAGGGGAAACGAGACAGAGGGAGUAAAAGUGGGAAGGGGAUGGAUGAUGGAAGACAAAAAGGAGUAGGAGACAGGAAAAGGGGAGAACUUCUUUUCCAUUACUUACUCUCUUCCUCUAAUUCUUCACUCACUCCUCACCCUUCCUGCUAAUAUUUAUUUUCUCUACCUGCUCCAUUUACUAGCUCGCAUCCUCCUCCUUCACGCUUCCUUCAUUUUCUUGUCCCAAGUACCUCCUUCCCAGGUUAAGAACUCCCUUCCUCCCGCUGCUUCACAAUGCGUGAUAACUUGCUCCCUCCCUCUUACUCAUUCCAUAGUAUUUACUCUCCAUCCUUCUCUCUCUCUCUCUCUCUCUCUCUCUCUCUCUCUCUCAUACCUUUUCAGUAUCCUUCACACUGUCUCCCUUACUCAUACACACAGACGGGCCUUUUGCUAUCUGAAAAUGCGUUUGCGGACAUUGAUGCGAAUCUUUUGUUGUUUUUAAAACACAGAUGCAGAUAUUAUUGUGGAUAGCAUUUUUACUGCAAAUGCUAAGCGGAUGUGGAUGCGGAGGUGGAUAAGCGAUACAUCACUAUCACAUACGAAAUUCAAACGUAUUUAUAACUAUUAUAAAUUAAAGUUAAGUACCUAAAAAACUAACAAUACUGAUAGACAGCACGUGAACGGGGGCUGUGGCUCAGAAAAGUGCAGCAAAGCUUCAAAUGAUGAGUGGAUCACGUGAUUCUGUUCCAAAUACGUACAUAAAACUUAUUAGCAAAGAAUGUAUUAGUGAAACCACCUUCGAUAGGAAGGCAAUAACUUUCCAUGCUCGGCUAAAUAUAACAGUUUUCUAAGGAAGCGUAAUCAUCGAGAAACGAAAAAAAAAAAAAAAGAAAAUCGAAAGCAAGAGAUAAGUGACGCAGAAAAUGGCAGCGACGUGGCUUUUCCUGGCAGCGACUUUGGUAGUGUAUCAUUGCCGCGCCCAGCUGAAUGGCAAAGCAUUUCUAAAGGUUCCUGGCGCAAGACUCGACGAAGUUACUGUCCUCAGCGAAGCUGAGAUAGGUAGCAUGUUGACGUGCGCUUCGCUAUGUCUCGCUGGUGACUGCAACGCCUACACCAUAAACAAUUCAGUGACCACAGAGCCUCGCUGCAUGCUGGCGACUUACUCCCUCACUCCCGUUUUGAUUAAUGACGACAGUUACGACCUAUACAUCGAGACUAGCGUUCUCCUGCCACUGAAAACGAACUUAAAUGGAUAUUUUGGGGAUUGGCAGCCACCGACCAUGUGUCCAGAGGGGCAUUACGUCUACGGUUAUGGACUCUUG